GGUUAUUAGUUUGUGGAAACAAUAGAUUUUGAAAAUCUAGUUUUAAUGUUCGAUUCAUUAAAUGACUU
rnacentral:tRNA from 2 species